CCAAAUAAGCUCAUAGGUUGUCUUAACCAUUGCUCUAUACUCGGCUUCUGCACUUGAUAAGGCAACAACAUUCUGCUUCUUACUCUUCCAAGAGACUAGAUUUCCUCCAACAAAAACAGGUUGUCUUAGCCAUAGCUCUAUACUCGGCUUCUGCACUUGAUAAGGUAACAACAUUCUGCUUCUUACUGUUCCAAGAGACUAGAUUUCCUCCAACAAAAACACAGUAUCCUGUAGUGGAUCACCUAACAAUAGGAGAUCCAGCCCAAUCUGCAUCACAUUAUCCUAUCACCUCUGUGUUUCCCCUAUCUUCAUAGAUUAGCCCUUGUCCUGGAGCUUUCUUGAUGUAUUUCAGAAUUCGAAUAGCAGCAUCCUAGUGACUUAGGCGAGGAUCUUGUAGAAAUUGACUCACUACACCUACAGCAAAAGAAAUAUCAGGUCUAGUGAUUUUUAAGUAGUGCAACUUCCCAACUAAUCUUCUAUAUCUCCCAGGAUUUGCAUACGGCUCCCCCUCAUCUGGUAGAAGCUUGGAAUUAGGAUCCAUAGGACAAUCAAUUGGUUUGCAAUCUAGUAAACCAGUGUCUUUAAGUAUGUCCAGUGCAUAUUUUCUCUGUGAAACCACAAUGCCAUUCUUAGAUUGAGCAACUUCAAUACCAAGAAAGUACUUGAGCUUCCCUAAAUCCUUGGUCUGAAAAUGGUUGCACAAAUGUUUCUUUAAUUGAA
rnacentral:lncRNA from 1 species